rfam:Nitrospinae bacterium RIFCSPLOWO2_01_FTLL_39_10 rifcsplowo2_01_scaffold_43549, whole genome shotgun sequence.
CGCGGGGUGGAGCAGUCUGGUAGCUCGUCGGGCUCAUAACCCGAAGGUCGCAGGUUCAAAUCCUGCCCCCGCUA